GCCCUCGUGGUGUUGUGGUCAGCACGCGCAGCUCUUGUUCGAUAGGUCUGUGGUUCGAGUCCAGGCGAGGGCA
rnacentral:tRNA from 1 species